CUUAUCCCCCAUGGCGGAAAGGUUGCUCACCCCCUUCAGUCCACGUUCCUGAAGGGCCGGCGGAUCCAUGACGGGAUUCCUUCCCUUCACGAGAUCGUCCAUGACGUGGCGUCAAAGGGGCUUAAGGGGGUCUUCCUCAAAUUGGACUUCCAGAAGGCGUAUGACCAUCUGGACUGGUCCUUUUUGAGGUUGGUGAUAGAGCGUCGAGGAUUUGACGAGAGUUGGUGUUCCUAA
rnacentral:rRNA from 1 species